rnacentral:rRNA from 1 species
GACGAACGCUGGCGGCGUGCCUAAUACAUGCAAGUCGAGCGAAGUUUUUCUGGUGCUUGCACCGGAAAAACUUAGCGGCGAACGGGUGAGUAACACGUAAAGAACCUGCCUCAUAGACUGGGACAACUAUUGGAAACGAUAGCUAAUACCGGAUAAUAGCAUUAACUGCAUGGCUGAUGUUUAAAAGUUGGUUUUGCUAACACUAUGAGAUGGCUUUGCGGUGCAUUAGCUAGUUGGUGGGGUAAAGGCCUACCAAGGCGACGAUGCAUAGCCGACCUGAAAGGGUGAUCAGCCACCCUGGGACUGAGACACGGCCCACACUCCUACGGGAGGCAGCAGUAGGGAAUCUUCCGCAAUGGGCGAAAGCCUGACGGAGCAACACCGCGUGAGUGAAGAAGGAUUUCGGUUCGUAAAGCUCUGUUGUUAGGGAAGAAUGAUUGUGUAGUAACUAUACACAGUAGAGACGGUACCUAACCAGAAAGCCACGGCUAACUACGUG